UACGUAGGGGGCGAGCGUUGUCCGGAUUUAUUGGGCGUAAAGAGCUCGUAGGCGGUUUGGUAAGUCGGAUGUGAAAUCUCCAGGCUCAACCUGGAGAGGUCAUUCGAUACUGCCAUGACUAGAGUCCGGUAGGGAGUGUGGAAUUCCGGUGGAGCGGUGAAAUGCGCAGAUAUCGGGAAGAACACCGGUGGCGAAGGCGGCGACCUGGUCCGUGACUGACGCUGAGGCGCGAAAGCGUGGGUAUCAAACAGG
rnacentral:rRNA from 1 species